GGAGAAAUAGCUCAGUUUGUAGGGUGCUUGCCUUGUAUGCAAAAGGCCCUGGGUUCAAUCCCCAGCACCA
rnacentral:tRNA from 1 species